GACAGAGGGUGCAAACGUUGUUCGGAAUUACUGGGCGUAAAGCGCGUGUAGGCUGCUCAGAAAGUUGGAUGUGAAAGCCCUGGGCUUAACCUAGGAAGUGCAUUCAAAACUACUGAGCUGGAGUCCUGGAGAGGAAGGCGGAAUUCUCGGUGUAGAAGUGAAAUUCGUAGAUAUCGAGAGGAACACCGGUGGCGAAGGCGGCCUUCUGGACAGUGACUGACGCUGAGACGCGAAAGCGUGGGGAGCAAACAGG
rnacentral:rRNA from 1 species